GAUGAACGCUGGCGGCGUGCUUAAUACAUGCAAGUCGAGCGAACAGACCAGGAGCUUGCUCCUUUGACGUUAGCGGAGGACGGGUGAGAAACACGUGGAUCCCCUACCUGUCAGUCGGGGAUAACCUCGGGAAAGCGGCGCUAAUACCGGAGAAUAUAUUGAACCACAUGGUUCAUUGGAGAAAGUCGGUUUUGCUGUCUCUAAUAGAUGCAUCCGCGCCGCUUUAGGUAGUUGGUAAGGUAACCGCCUUCCACGGCGACGAUGCCUAGCCGACCGAAGGGGGUGGUAGCCCACCCGGGAACUUAGACACGCACCAGCCUCCUACGGGACGCCGCAGUAUGGAAUGUUCCGCAAUAGGCGACAGCCUGACGGAGCGACGGCGCGUGAGAUAUAAAGGUCUUCCGAUCGUAAAGCUCUGUUAUUGGGUGAGAACAAAUGUGUAAGUAACUGUGCACGUAUUGACGGUACCUAAUCAGGAAGCCACGGCUAACUACGUG
rnacentral:rRNA from 1 species